rnacentral:misc_RNA from 1 species
GGUCCCUUUAUGAGGUGUUUUUUUUAGGAGUUUUUUAAAAUUUUUUUUAGGAAUUUUUUGCUUUUUUUUUUUUUUUUUUUCUUUGAUCUAGUAUGAUCAAUUUGGUAUGCACCAAGACUACUAAGAAAAUUUUAAUAGAUUCUAAUUUUAUAAUUUUAUAGUUAAUUUAAUAGAAAAGAGAAAAGUGUAGUUUUUUUUCCUUUGACCUUCAUUUGGAUUUUAAUAAGUAAGAUAAGCUAAAAAAAAAAUAAUGAUCGGUGGUUCAAUUUCAGAUCUUUGUGGUUCAAAUUUUU